UACGUAGGGUGCAAGCGUUAAUCGGAAUUACUGGGCGUAAAGCGUGCGCAGGCGGUUUUGUAAGUCUGUCGUGAAAGCCCCGGGCUCAACCUGGGUAUUGCGAUGGAGACUGCAAGGCUUGAAUCUGGCAGAGGGGGGUAGAAUUCCACGUGUAGCAGUGAAAUGCGUAGAGAUGUGGAGGAACACCGAUGGCGAAGGCAGCCCCCUGGGUCAAGAUUGACGCUCAUGCACGAAAGCGUGGGGAGCAAACAGG
rnacentral:rRNA from 1 species